rnacentral:rRNA from 1 species
UCAACCNUUGUAGGCUUUGGAAACUGUUUAACUUGAGUGCAGAAGGGGAGAGUGGAAUUCCAUGUGUAGCGGUGAAAUGCGUAGAUAUAUGGAGGAACACCGGUGGCGAAAGCGGCUCCCUGGUCUGUAACUGACGCUGAGGCUCGAAAGCGUGGGGAGCGAACAGGAUUAGAUACCCUGGUAGUCCACGCCGUAAACGAUGAGUGCUAGGUGUUAGGUCCUUUCCGGGACUUAGUGCCGCAGCUAACGCAUUAAGCACUCCGCCUGGGGAGUACGACCGCAAGGUUGAAACUCAAAGGAAUUGACGGGGGCCCGCACAAGCGGUGGAGCAUGUGGUUUAAUUCGAAGCAACGCGAAGAACCUUACCAGGUCUUGACAUCCCGAUGCCCGCUCUAGAGAUAGAGCUUUACUUCGGUACAUCGGUGACAGGUGGUGCAUGGUUGUCGUCAGCUCGUGUCGUGAGAUGUUGGGUUAAGUCCCGCAACGAGCGCAACCCUUAUUGUUAGUUGCCAUCAUUCAGUUGGGCACUCUAGCGAGACUGCCGGUAAUAAACCGGAGGAAGGUGGGGAUGACGUCAAAUCAUCAUGCCCCUUAUGACCUGGGCUACACACGUGCUACAAUGGCUGGUACAACGAGUCGCAAGCCGGUGACGGCAAGCUAAUCUCUGAAAGCCAGUCUCAGUUCGGAUUGUAGGCUGCAACUCGCCUACAUGAAGUCGGAAUCGCUAGUAAUCGCGGAUCAGCACGCCGCGGUGAAUACGUUCCCGGGCCUUGUACACACCGCCCGUCACACCACGAGAGUUUGUAACACCCGAAGUCGG